rnacentral:tRNA from 1 species
AGAGGAGUAUGCAACAGCAACCAGACUCAUAACCUGGAAAUUGAGGGUUAUCCCUCCUCCUCUA